GUGCUUCAGAGUAGGCUGCACCCACCCCGACCGGCAGGCUGGAAAGGAAAGUCGGAGGCGCAUGCACAGAGGACGUCUUGGACGCGGGUGCUGCUGGAGGGGGCCACCAGAGGACCGUUCAUACCACAACAGACUGGCCUUCCACCUAGUGAGUCAGCACCUUGAACAAUAGGACUAUUCUGGAAGCCAUUCCUACCAGGACAACUAGUUAGAUCCCAUCAGUGCCUGAGGCCGCUCCAGCACCACCCAUGGUAAGGAGAAAUGCAACAUGCGGAAAUAGAACUGGGAAAAGCCAGUGGUCUAAACCAAUUGCAUUUUAAAUACCUUCCUUUUGCAAAUUUUACAAAGACAUCAGAUCUUAGGAACACCUUGCUAGGACCAUGGAAGGGCCUAUGCAAAUCAGGGGCCCUGAAGCUUCUGUGAGCUUUACUAUAAACCCACUCUGAAUACCGAUCACGAUGCAUUUAUUGAAUGUCCAUUUAUUGAAUGUGUGCCAGAGGCUAGUGCCAGAAAUCCUGCCCUGGAAUAUAACAGCUAGUCCUGACACUGCCACCAGCUGUUGGUGGGGCCUCCUUCCUUCUCUGUGUGUGAGUUUUCCCACCUGGAGAAUGAGUAAUACUAAAAGACUAACAUUUAGGGUUAUUAUGAGGCCCAGAUAUAAAGCUCACUAAACGGUCCAGUUAAGAACCUGGGGGCUUUGCAGUCAGAGAGACCUAGAUGAGAAUCCCAGGGGGGAAAAAAUCAAGGCUUCCUCUUACCAGCUUGGGACUGCCCACAAGUCGUGCCUUUUCUGUGAUCUUCCCUUUCUUCAUCUGUAAAUGGAGUUUGAUUCAUUUGUUCAUUCAUUCAUCCAGCAUUUCCUGAGCACUUGCUGUGUUCCAGGCAUUUUUCUGGAUCCCGGGACUUGGUACCUCAGUGAAGAGACAAAAAACGCCCAUGCUCUAGUGAAAGGGAGACAGGCAAUAAAAUACAAAUAAAUAAAUGGCAGGUGGUGAUAAGUGGUAUGGAAAAAAUAAAGCAGAGGUAAAGGGGAAGGGGUGGUCAGAGAUGGUGUCUUAGAGAAGCUGGCUUAGAGCAGAGACUUGAGGUCAGUGAAGGAGCUGGCCUUGUAGUCCAAGGGUAAAGCAUUCCAGGAAAAGGAAACAGUGAGUGCAAAGGCACUGAGAUGGGAGCAUCCCUGAUGCAUUUAAAGAAUAGUGAGGCGGUCAAUAUUGAGUGAGUAGAAGUGUGGUAGAAGAUGUUUGGGAGAGAGCCAGAAGCCAAGUCAUCUAGGGUCUUGUAAGCCAUCUUGAGAUCUUUGCAUUUUGCUCUGAGUGAGAAGGAGCCCACUGAAAGUGGAGGGCAGCAGGGACAUCAUUUUAAUCACGUCAUGAGUGAUCAUACUGUGUUAAGAAGAGGCUGGGUUAAAAUAAUUCGAAUGAUAUUAAAUGGUACAACCUAUGGAAAACAUUUUGGUAGCUCCUCAUAAGGUUCAACAUAGA